CAGUCAGGCCGUGACUGGCGCUGAGGUGGGAUCACCACCGGGGAGCGGCCCGACACCGUGUCUUUGCCGUGCGCCUGGGCGACUUCC
rnacentral:ncRNA from 2 species